GCAGGUCUCCUGUUCUCUGGAAUUCAGAUCUGAUUGGGACAAAGUGACAAAGACAUCGAUGGCUCUAGAACAAGGCUGCAGGAGUCCCACAUGUGGCCCCACCUGCCCCUGGCUGGGCUCAGCUGUUGCUGGUUUGGUAACCUAACUGAGGAAUGCACAUGUGACCAGGCUGGGGACUUCCUGAUGAGCCACCUACAUGACAAAGGCUGAACUCAAGGCCUAGGUGGACAUCAAGCUCAAGACCAGGCUGGCUUCAAACACAAUCCUCAGCCUCCCAAGCAGCUUGGAUUACGGAUGUGCCCACUGUGCGUGGUUCCCAGGCGGUCCUGGAUAAAGUGAACAGGCAGAGGUCCUAGGACACUUCACCUACUGCCUCCUGCUCAGGAACCCGGAGGUGGUGGCAACAGCAAGGCAGAUGGUACAGGUGCCAGCUAGGGGCCUCUGUGCCAACAGAGGGUCUCCAGUGAGACCAGCAACGCCGUGCAGGAAGGGGCCGUGUCCAUUCAGCACUGGACCGUGCCAGGCACACCAGGGGUGCCUGUUGCAGACCUCAGACUAAGCAGCACCAGGGCGGGGCACCUGCCUAGCAGUGACUGUGACCACUCUUGGGACGGGUGCCUGUUCCUGACCACUGUGUCCUCCUGAAGAUUAAACUGAAGUAACCAGA